rfam:Schistosoma mansoni, Puerto Rico, WGS project CABG01000000 data, contig: 0105
AUUUAGCUGACGAGUCCUAAAUGGGAUCAAACGCACGUUCUGGAU